rnacentral:lncRNA from 1 species
GUGUUUACAUUUCUAAUCAUGGCAAAAUUCAGAUAAGCAGUUAGGCAGCCGCGUGGCCAUAAACUGCAACGUGUUAUGUUGUGGGAAUGGAAGUGAACGUAGCUCUAACUGCCCUGCUCUGGCUUGUGUGACCAUCUUACUCCACCGACUUCUAGACACCGAGUCCAGGGGGCAGGGGGCAUGAUUCUGCCACCCAGAGCAGGUUCAUCAGAUGCAUCCAAGUUUUUCACAUACGUUUGAAGUGAUCUGUCUCCCGCUGAAGCUGUCAUCCUGUGGCAUCAAGACUAGGAAUCGCAACUAUGCUUUGAUCUUCUCCCAAAAGCAAGAGGAUCAGAGCUGGAAGUUGGCAAAAUUCAGGUGCGGGAUGGAGGGUGUUGACUUCAGAACAUGUUUGUCAUGAACAUUGACAUGUAAAGUUUCCUGUCUUCAUAAAGUUUUGCUGAAUCAUCUAUAGAGGAAUAUGCUAAAUACAGCUUCCCUGGGAGCCAGAAAGCUAAAGCACCCAGUUAUUUGUGUAUUUAGGGCUUGUUCUAGGUCUUGUGUGUUCAGUGGUAAGUACGAGGCCACUAAGAGAUUGUGAGUCUCCUCUGAAACCUUUCUAAUUCUUAAGAAUCAUUUCAAAUUUACUUUGUAGUGCUUUGGGGGCGUCAGGUGUUUUAACUUUUCCCAAAUCGUGUUUCUGCAGCCCUUUGAACAAUGUUAAAGAUGUUUAUUUCAUGAGAAUGUAGCAGAAGACAACAGUGUCUUUUAAACAGGUCAUAGUCAGAGCCCUGGCCUGAGAUUCAUGGGACCCCAACAAACACUUCACAUACAGACUCCAGAAAAGGCACAGUCAAGAAAAAGGUAAAACAGGACUCAGAAAGGAAGGUUUUAUGUACCUUUCUUCUUUAACCACCUCUGAAAUGUGCACCUGUAUUAAGGGACUGCCAUCUUCUGUUGCAAAGAAUGAAUUUGGGGUCCUACAGCCUGCCGUGGAAUCAAAACCUCCUGUUGACACAGAGGAGGAUCCCACAGCGUCAUUUCAGCAGCCUCUCAGCUCCCCUUUGAACAUGGAAGUCUCUCUCUCCAGGGCACAGUCUUGCCAUCCACACAGAAUUCCUGUGGCUCCAGUGCAAGGACAACCAUGAAUAUACUUUCCCAACACACCCUCCAAAUUCGACAGAAAUUACUCAAGCGUUGUCAAAGGCACAGUGAUAAAUGCCUUCUCUGAACAGAUGCCUCAUGUUAAUUCGGACAAUGACAAUGAUGGGUCUUCCAUUUCUGUUUUGUGGCUUUAGAAAACAAUUGAUAGGAAUCUGGAAAACUUUGAUCCUUUCUGUUGCUCCCACCUGAGGAAAUGACCCUGAUAAAACAUGUUUUUGUUUUUUUGUAGCAUACAGGUGAGGGACACCCCUUCCACCUGGGUGAUGCUCAAUUGAGUAGAUAAAUGAAAAGUGAUCACAACAAAGAAAAGUGGGGAAAAAAGGAGCUUGAAGUGACUCAGGGGGUAGUCCACUCUGAGAUAAGUGAAAGAUGUUAUUUGGUAUUAAAUGAAACUAUUUUUUAAUAGAAUUUCCAAGUCCUCAUAUGGCAGUGAGAGAAAACAGAAGAAUCAUAAGAAGCCUUUAUUCAAUGCUUGCUAUAUGUCAACCAAUAUGUUAAGUAAUCUCAUCCAUCUUCACAUAACUAGAUGAACCAGGUCCCUGUUUUAUAGAUUAGGACACUGAGAAAAUUUGCCAAGACAAGUGGAAGGUCCAUAAUCUUAACGUAAUGAUCUGCCACAAGCCCUUAAUCUUCAUCACAAUCGUGUUAUCAUGGUCCUUUAGAUUUUAUAAUUUAUUGUACUCACACAAGUCUUGAUUCUCUAAAGCUACCAAAAUGAGGGAGUGUUUCUUCAUACUUGGAGAGGAAAAAGCUUAUUUUCAAUCAUUCACAUGAUAUUAACAUGUGUCCAAAAGAUCUGGAUCAAUUGGGUACGGAUUUCUCCAGAAAACUCUUCCCACAUGGAAAUUGUCUCUCCGAGGUCAAUCACAACUCUGAGUGUCUGGAAUACAGACCAUUAGAACAUUAAUCACUGAUGUAAAUAUCCUUUCUCACCUUCCUUCUGCACAGCUCAUACUAACUUCCACUCAGAAAAACCUACUAAAUUUAACAAUUACAAAGAAAUUCUCUUCCCCCUUUCUCUUUUUUGAGAAAGACAUACGAGCAUGAAAAUCACUAAGCACAAAACAAAGUUUCCUUGGAGAUGAAUUUGUUUUGAAGAAAUGUAAACCUGGUUAGAACUUUAGGAAAAUGUGUGUUAUUUGAUGUGUGACCUUGGCUCAAGUCAGCAUGCUCUCAGGAGCAGAGUGUGCAUCAGCAUCGAUGACUGAUGGGACAGUAGGUGUGGAUGUGGACAACAUCUUAAGCAGGUGACCCCAGUGCAGAGCCACAGAACGGUUUCUGAGCAAUUCAAAGAGCCAAAGGCACCUUCACACUGUGUCAGGAUGGAAAAGCCCCACCAUUCCACUGUGGCCUCUGCUGGUCUCCAUCCAGAACGCUGUCAUCACCACCACCAGCAUGAGAAUCUUCUUCACUCAAUUCAACAGUCUUUAAAAUAGUAGUACAAGGAGUUAUAAAAAUAAAAACAGUUGGUCUUAUUGAGUGCUCA